rnacentral:rRNA from 1 species
UACGUAGGUGGCAAGCGUUAUCCGGAUUUACUGGGUGUAAAGGGCGUGUAGGCGGUCGGAUAAGUUAGAGGUGAAAUCCCGAGGCUCAACUUCGGAAUUGCCUCUGAUACUGUUCGGCUAGAGAGUAGUUGCGGUAGGCGGAAUGUAUGGUGUAGCGGUGAAAUGCUUAGAGAUCAUACAGAACACCGAUUGCGAAGGCAGCUUACCAAGCUACUUCUGACGUUGAGGCACGAAAGCGUGGGGAGCAGACAGG